UUUGUGACAGUAGGUGGAUGUGGUGGUGGCAAAGGUCCUGCACCUCUAACCUCUGACAGUGAACGUGGUUCAGCUUUCUGCUGUUCAGGCCGCUCCAGUCAUUCUUUAUGUUACGCUGCCGCCUCAUGAAAGGACACCGUGAGUUUGUUUGGUGGACUGGAACGGCAUCAAAGCAAAGAACAGAGGCGCGUGUGCCGGGCUGUCGCUGAAGUGAGAACCGCUCCACGGCUGCUUGGUUUGAACAGAUGAAAGGGUUAAUCUCAUUUGACGACAUACAACCGUGAGUAAUGACUCCAAAGCCUCCCACUGCCUUUGCACUGUUUCAUUUGCAACUUUUUCCUGAAGCAUGGCCUUAUUUGUUGUACAGCCUUGGCUGCACUCUGCCUUUCUUGCCUCCAUUGUACUCGCAGCAGCCCGCUGCUUACUGUCUGUGUGUGCCUAGGUAAACACAUUAUGGGAAUAGAAGCUAAUCCAUCACGGGAGUCACGCUGAAAUGUUUCUCCCUCAGGGCUCUGCAGUGCUGUGGUAUCAGGUGGAAAGUUUCCACUUCCUGUCUUUGUCGGCAGGUUCCUGGCCGAAGGGGGCAAUUUCACGAUUGGCCCCCGGUGGAUUGAACAUACGACCCACGGGCGACACUACCUGUUCCACCACUACCCCGGAUGGCGCCACUCCUGGAAGGGGAGGUUUACGCUGUACCCUGAGUGGGAGACGAGAUGAGGGAUGUUUCCAUCUAUCUUUCAAGAAGUAAUGAAGUCAUCAUCCCUGCAAAAGAUGUGUCCUGACCCUGUCGUAUCCUGAUGGGGGAGGUUCUGACUGCUGGCCAGGUGGGAGCAGUGGAAGAGGCAGGACUGGAGGCAUUGGCCUUGCACGGAUGCUUUGCCUCCGUGUUUAUUUGAUAUCCCGGUUUAACGCGCAGCCAGGACGUAAGAAGACGCGUGGAAAGAAGGCGUAAGGAAAGAUGGGUGUGUUUAUUUUACGUUUGGGUGAAUGUACAAUAAGCUGAAAGACUGAAGGUGUGAAAGAAAAGAGAGGAAAACGAAAGACAGACAGGCUGAGACCCCACUCAAAUGUCCAAACAGAAGUGUAUGAGUGAUUUGCUGGGUGAAAGAUAAUGUAGACUGUAAUUCUCCUCAUGAAUCUAAGCACGUCAUAUAUCUCACUUGCCUGGCCGGCUCAUAAACAAGCCGGGAAUAAAACAAACAUGUUAAACCGAUUCCA
rnacentral:lncRNA from 1 species